rnacentral:rRNA from 1 species
UAAGGAAUAUUGGUCAAUGGACGCAAGUCUGAACCAGCCAUGCCGCGUGAAGGAAUAAGGCCCUAUGGGUUGUAAACUUCUUUUAGACGGGACAAAACCCCUUUACGUGUAAAGGGUUGAUGGUACUGUCAGAAUAAGCAUCGGCUAACUUCGUGCCAGCAGCCGCGGUAAUACGAAGGAUGCAAGCGUUAUCCGGAAUUAUUGGGUUUAAAGGGUGCGUAGGCGGACUAAUAAGUCAGUGGUGAAAGCCUGCAGCUUAACUGCAGAAUUGCCAUUGAUACUGUUAGUCUUGAGUACAGUUGAGGUAGGCGGAAUGUGUCAUGUAGCGGUGAAAUGCUUAGAUAUGACACAGAACACCGAUUGCGAAGGCAGCUUGCUAGGCUGUAACUGACGCUGAGGCACGAAAGCGUGGGGAGCAAACA